rnacentral:rRNA from 1 species
AAGUAGCAGCAUACAGCUGACCUAAGCUGGGCCUGUUUAGUACUUGGAUGUGACACUAUCUGAGAAGUUCAGGGCUAUUAGUUU